UUACCCACUCUUUAUCAAAUAUUUUAAUUAAGCCCACUAUAUUUAUAUUAUUUCUAGUGUGAAGAACUUUAGAAUGAUUUUCACGUCAGACCUCCAUGAAGCACCUGUUCAAAGGUGGAUUUUUGAAAUCAAAUCCUUGCAAUGAUAUACCAAAUUGGCGUAGUUUCUCGCCUGGAAAAUUUCAAUUAGUUGGGUCUUCAGUUGUGUCGUCAAGAUCAGUUCAAACUUCCAGAAGAGCUGAUGAAAAUUCUGACUUGACUAACUCCAGAGAAUCAAAAGGCUUUGGCCCUCUCUUGGAUGAAAUCCUUGGUAUAUUGGGCACUGAUGCGAUUGAGGUUGAUACAAAUGCUUCGGAUCGGUUGUCGGAGUUCAAAGAAAGGCAGUUGAGAAGAGAUGCGGGGCGCGGGGAGUCAUCGUCGUUCCAGGGGCAAAGUGUUUGUAGAAAUGCCGAGGAGAAAACAGACGAUAUAAAGAUGGGAGGUGCACCGGGGGAAGGGAUUUUGGAUGAGAUUGAAGUGGAAGAUGUUAGCCCAGUAGUUCAUAAGGUGACUGAGAUUGUUAGGAGUGAAAACGCCGUCGUUUCAAUGGAGGACAGGUUUGCCACUUGUGAUUUCAACUGCAAUGAGGAGGUAGUCGAGAAGGUGCUGAAGAGGUGUUUCAAAGUUCCUCAUUUGGCUUUAAAGUUUUUCAAUUGGGUGAAACACAGUAAAGGAUUUAAUCACACAACCAACACCUUUAAUGUGAUGAUAAGUAUAGCUGGGGAAGAGAAAGAUAUCAGUUUGGUAGAGAAUUUGGCUGAGGAAAUGAAGAAAUCGUCGUGUGAGAGAGAUGCUAAGACAUGGACUAUUCUUUUAUCUCAUUAUGGGAAAGCAAAUCACAUCGGGAAAGCCUUGUUGGUGUUUGAGGAAAUGAAGAGAGCUGGUGUUGAACCUGAUUCGACUGCCUACAGAACAAUGCUGCGUGCACUUUGUAAUGCUCGAAAACCCGACCUAGCCUUGGAAUUCUACAAGGAUAUGGUACUUAAGGAAGUGAAAUUAGAUGCUGGCUUAUAUAAACAGUUGCUCAAGUGUGUGGCGUCUGGGAAUGCUGCUGCUGGUGUUCAUUUGGUUGGUGAAAACAUGGUGAGACUUUCUGAGAUUCCUGAACCUCAGAUUUAUGGUUUGAUGCUACAGAGUUUUUGCAUUGCAGGGAGAAUAAAAGAAUCCUUAGAAUUAAUACAGGAUAUGAAGAAUAAGAAUGUAGUACUUGAUGCCGGAAUUUUUGAAACAUUGGUGAAAGGGCUCUGUACCAAAGAUAGAAUUACAGAUGCCAUGGAAAUUCUUGAAAUAAUGAAGAGAAGAAAUGAGUUCAAUCCAAAUAUUUAUGGAAUUCUUAUAAGCGCUUAUUUGAGAAGAAAUGAAGUGACUGAGGCAUUUAAUCUUUUUGCUGCUGCGAAAAAGUUAGGAAAUGUCCCGAUCUCUACCUACACAAAUUUGAUGCAACACUUUUUCUGGAAUAAGGAAUUCCAGAAAGGCGUGGAGCUGUACAAUGAGGUUCUCGAAAAGGGGAUUCAAUUGGAUAGUGUGGCAAUAACUGCUGUUGCGAUUGCUUAUGUUCAGCAAAAUCGCCUUUCGGAAGCAUCUAAAGUGUUCAAGAGCAUGUAUGAAAAGGGAUUUAAGCCAACUCGUAAAUCAUAUAUAAUUUUCAUAAAGGAACUCUGUAAAGCUUCCAAAGCAGAAGAGAUUGACAAGGUUUUGAGUGACUUGAUUUGUGAAUUAGAUAUUCGAGAUGAUGUCCUUAGGCAGGUUCUUUCUUACCUAGAAAGGAAAGGAGAUUUGGAGAAGAUGAAUGUAAUAUUGGGAAUACAGAGAGGUUUUACCUCUCAUCCAAGAGGUAAAGAGGAACUUAAUUCUGUUCGAGCAAAUCAAGUGGAACUGGUAGGAGAACCAGAACAAAAUCGAUCAUCACAGGAAAGGAGGCUAGACCACUUCCCGGAAUCUGGUGCAGGAAUCAAUAUUGAUACUAGUGUACAACAAGUUUGCCAAAUUUUAUCAUCCUUAAGUGAUUGGUCCAUUAUUCAAGAGAGAUUGGGGAAACUUAAAAUCCAGUUUACGCCUGAACUUGUGGUAGGAAUAUUGCAGAAUAGUGGCCCUAACAUAGGCACUGCCUUAAAGUUUUUCUCAUGGGUCGGGAAGCAAUCAGGUUAUUGCCACGCUGAAAAAUCAUACCAUGCAGCCAUUAAAAUUGCCGGUCAAGGGAAAAACUUUAAGGAAAUGAGAUGCCUCUUUCAUGAGAUGAAAAAAAGAGGCUGCUUAAUAACAUCUGAUACAUGGACAAUUAUGAUACAACAGUAUGGUCGUAUCGGGCUGACAGAUAUUGCUUUGAAGAGUUUCAAAGAGAUGAAACUCAGUGGUUGCAAACCAUCUAAAAGCACCUACAAGUCUUUGAUCACUUCUCUUUGUGGAAAGAAAGGUAGGAAAGCUCGUGAUGCAAUCCAGCUGUAUCAUGAAAUGGUUAGAUCUGGCUUUGUGCCUGGUAAAGAAUUGAUUGAAACUUAUAUUUGCUGUUUAUGCGAGGUCAAUGAACUGUCAGAAGCAAGAACCUGUAUUGAAUCUUUGUAUAAGUUUGGUUUUUCAGUCCCUUUAUCUUACUCCUUGUACUUCAGGGCCCUUUCCCGGGCAGGGAGAUUGGAGGAUGCUUUAGCCUUGAUGGAUGAAAUUGGUUCGGAAAAGAAUAUCCUGGACCAGUACACAUAUGGUAGCUUGAUUCAUGGAUUAUUGCGUAGGGGACAACUGGAAGAGGCAUUGGCAAAGAUCAAGAGUAUGAAACAGGUGGGAAUUAAUCCGACAGUUCAUGUAUACACAUCUUUGAUAAUUUACUUUCUUAAGGCGAAGGAGAUUGAUAGAGCUCACCAAACUUUAGAGGAAAUGAAGAAACAUGAUUGUGAACCUAGCAUAGUCACUUAUUCAGCUCUGAUUUGCGGAUAUGUGAGACUGGGACGGGUUAGCGAUGCUUGGAGUCUUUUCCAUCACCUGAAGCAAAAUGGCCCGGCUCCCGAUUUUAAGACUUACUCUAUGUUCAUUCACUGCCUUAGUAGAGUAGGCAACUCUGAAGAAGCAUUCAAACUCAUUUCUGAAAUGCUGAACAAUGGCAUUAUUCCCAGUACAAUUAACUUCCGGAAAGUCAUCUAUGGACUGAAUAGUGAAGGCAAACGAAAUUUGGCGCGGAUUGUGCUGAAGAAGAAAUUGGAUCUAGAAAGAAGCAGGAAACUGUUUCCAUCUUGAGAUACGACUCAAGAAGGGUUGUCAUCUUGUACCUUUAACCAGCAAAGACUUGGGUGCAGCCAGAGGUUUUGGGAUCAAGUCGAAAAAACACAUGUGACCGUCACGUGCGCCUUCGUGACAUGGCUGGAGCAUACGUGGAGCCGUUGUUGUGUUGUCGUCCGCUUAAUUGUCUGUCAGACAGGUGACGUGUAAUUAUUUUAUUUUUUUCACUUUCGUAAUUUAGAAUAUUAUGUGUACUCCGGCUUAAUUUUGACCUCUGGAGCCGGAAAAACAAUUCGUUCUAAGCUUUUUCUUUAUUAUUUCAAUUUGGUCCAAUGGAUGCUAAAUUGAAAUUUUUUAAAAAAAAAGAAAAAAAAAAUUAGAUAUAUAUAUUUUUCAAAAAGAUAAUUUCACAUCACCUGUCUAACGAUUACACAGGCUACUAUACACUAGCAACGGCAACGUCUACGUAUACGCAGCCCAUGCGCGAAGGCGAACACUGUCAUGUGCUUUUUUUUGGCGCCGAAUGGUAAAAAUAAUGCUCGAAGUACUCAUAAUGUCCUAAAUUGUUAAAAUGAAAAAAAAAAUGUUUCGAAAAUAAUAAUCGAACCUACAUACAUGACAUUUUUUUUCAAAAUUU